ACUCAAAGGAAUAGACGGGGACCCGCACAAGCAGCGGAGCGUGUGGUUUAAUUCGAUGCGACGCGAAGAACCUUACCAGGGCUUGACAUGCAGGCGCACCGCCCAGCGAUGGGCGUGCCCGCAAGGGACGCUUGCACAGGUGCUGCAUGGCUGUCGUCAGCUCGUGCCGUGAGGUGUUGGGUUAAGUCCCCCAACGAGCGCAACCCCUAUCGUUGGUUGUCUGUUUCCAGCGAAACUGCCCGCAAGGGAGGAAGGAGGGGAUGACGUCAAGUCAGCACGGCCCUUACGUCCUGGGCUACACACACGCUACAAUGGCUGGUACAAUGGGUCGCCAAGCGGCAACGCGGAGCCAAUCCCAGCAAAGCCAGCCUCAGUUCAGAUUGGCGGCUGCAACCCGCCGCCAUGAAGGUGGAGUUGCUAGUAACCGCAGGUCAGCACACUGCGGUGAAUACGUUCCCGGGUCUUGUACACACCGCCCGU
rnacentral:rRNA from 1 species